UGUGACAAAUGUUUAACGGCCGCGGUAUUUUGACCGUGCAAAGGUAGCGCAAUCACUUGUCUUUUAAAUGAAGACCUGUAUGAAUGGCAUCACGAGGGCUUAACUGUCUCCUUUUUCCAGUCAAUGAAAUUGAUCUCCCCGUGCAGAAGCGGGGAUAAAAACAUAAGACGAGAAGACCCUAUGGAGCUUUAGACACCAAAGCAGAUCUUGUUAAAAGUACCAAAACAACGGAACAAACCAAAAGAACCCUGCCCUAAUGUCUUUGGUUGGGGCGACCGUGGGGAAACAUAAAACCCCCAUGAGGACUGAGCACACUGUUCUCACAACCAAGAACUACAGUUCUAAGCAACAGAAUUUCUGACCAUCAGAUCCGGCAAUGCCGAUCAACGGACCGAGUUACCCUAGGGAUAACAGCGCAAUCCUCUUUUAGAGCCCAUAUCGACAAGAGGGUUUACGACCUCGAUGUUGGAUCAGGACAUCCUAAUGGUGCAGCCGCUAUUAAGGGUUCGUUUGUUCAACGAUUAAAGUCCUACGUGAUCUGA
rnacentral:rRNA from 1 species